UACAGUCAUGUCAAAUUCAGUCCCCAUCCUGUUGUGGUAGGAGCUGGCCUACAUGGCUAACAGAGAAAGCUAUGCCACUUCUGGACCUAGGUUUCUUGCCCUUAGACCUGGGGAUUAAAAAAAAAGAAGAAAAGA
ensembl:snoRNA